rnacentral:rRNA from 1 species
UACGAAGGGGGCUAGCGUUGUUCGGAUUUACUGGGCGUAAAGGGCGUGUAGGCGGUCCGCUAAGUCUGAUGUGAAAGCCCGGGGCUCACCCCCGGAAGGGCAUUGGAAACUGGCGGACUCGAGUCCCGGAGAGGAAGGUGGAAUUCCUGGUGUAGCGGUGAAAUGCGUAGAUAUCAGGAGGAAUACCGGUGGCGAAGGCGGCCUUCUGGACGGUGACUGACGCUGAGACGCGAAAGCGUGGGGAGCAAACAGG